AUGGAGGUCCGACCCGGCCCGGCAGCAGCCAUGGACGGACGGAGACGCCCCAAACCCUACCCUCAAGGACGACGCCUCAACCUUCAACCGGAUCUUCCACCACACCACAUCGGCCUCCCUGAUUUCACGCAGGAGCUCCGCUGCUUCCAGAACGUCACCUGCUACCAGAAGUUGUCAUCUUUCGGAAGACAAAGUACGGGUUGA
rnacentral:rRNA from 1 species